rnacentral:rRNA from 1 species
AGUUUGAUCUGGCUCAGAUUGAACGCUGGCGGGAUGCUUUACAUGCAAGUCGGAGCAGCGGCACGGACUUCGGUCUGGUGGCGAGUGGCGAACGGGUGAGUAAUGUAUCGGAACGUGCCGCACAAUGGCGGGGGAUAACUACGCGGCGUAGCUAAUACCGCGCCACGCCCUUCGGGGAAAGCGGGGGACCUUCGGGCCUCGCACUAUUGAAGCGGCCGAUAUCGGAUUAGCUAGUUGGUGGGGUAACGGCUCGCAAGGCGACGAUCCGUAGCUGGUUUGAGAGAAGGCGACCAGCCACACUGGGACUGAGACCCGGCCCAGACUCUACGAGGCAGCAGUGGGAGUACCUGGACAAUGGAAACCCUGAUCCAGCCAUCCGCAUCAUGCGAUGAAGGCCUUCGGGUUGUAAGCGCUUUUUGGCGGAAAGAAACGCUGCAGGAUAAUACCCCGUGCAACUGACAGUACCUGCAGAAUAAGCACCGGCUAACUACGUGCCAGCAGCCGCGGUAAUACACGGCAUGGUGCAAGCGUUAAUCGGAAUUACUGGGCGUAAAGCGUGCGCGAGCGGUUCGAAGAAAGAUGCGAAAUCAGAGCUUAACUUUUGGAACUGCAUUUUUAACUACCGAGCUAGAGUGUAUGUCAGAGGGAGAGGUGGAAUUCCGCGUGUAGCGGUGAAAUGCGUAGAUGAUAUGCGGAGGAACACCGAUGGCGAAGGCAGCCUCCUGGGAUGGCACACUGACUCUCAUGCACACGAAAGCGUGGGAAUGACAGGAUUAGAUACCCUGGUAGUCCACGCCCUAAACGAUGUCAACUAGCUGUUGGGGCCUUCGGGCCUUGCGUGGCACCAGCUAACGCGUGAAGUUGACCGCCUGGGGAAAUGCAGUCGCAAGAUUAAAACUCAAGGAAUUGACGGGGACCCGCACAAGCGGUGGAUGAUGUGGUUAAUUGGUACAGCGCGAAAAACCUUACACCUACCCUUGACAUGUCUGGAGUCCCGAAGAGAUUUGGGAGUGCUCCUGCAAAGAGAACGGAACACAGGUGCUGCAUGGCUGUCGUCAGCUCGUGUCGUGAGAUGUUGGGUUAAGUCCCGCAACGAGCGCAACCCAUCAUUAGUUGCUACGAAAGGGCACUCUAAUGAGACUGCCGGUGACAAACCGGAGGAAGGUGAGGAUGCCGUCAGUCCUCAUGGCCCUUAUGGGUAGGGCUUUGUCAUACAAUGGUCGGGACAGAGGGUCGCCAACCCGCGAAGGGGAGCCAAUCCGAAACCCGAUCGUAGUCAGGAUCGCAGUCUGCAACUCGACUGCGUGAAGUCAGAAUCGCUAGUAAUCGCGGAUAAACAUGUCGCGGUGAAUACGUUCCCGGGUCUUGUACACACCGCCCGUCACACCAUGGGAGUGGGUUUUACCAGAAGUAGUUAGCCUAACCGUAAGGAGGCUUCAAUUACCACAUUAGGAUUCAUGACUGGGGUGAAGUCGUAACAAGGUAA